UUCCACUUCGCAAGUUGCCGACUUCGCCACCUCACUCAUCUCUGCCAUUCACGACGGAGCUCCUUCCUGUGCCCUAAGCUCCAACCAAGCAUCACCCCACGGCUACGAUCCCGCGGAGGACACUACGACUGGAUGCAGGGACUAGGGACGACCUCACUGUCGGCGCGAUAACGCUGGGCGAGGGCUUUCGGAGGCAGCCGAGGGAGAGAAAGGCAAGAGCAUUUUCCUCUAUGUUGGUAUGAAUCGGUGAGAUUCGAAAGUGGGGAGCUGAACUUGAUUUAAAACUUGGUUGGUUAUUUAGCAAGACCUUGGUACGGAGUUUGGGGUAUUUCGAAUUGAAUUUGGUACUGCACUUGUGUUCCGUUGCUGGAUGAGGUGAGGAAGACACUUCCUAGAAUAUGAUGGAGGCUAUGCGAACGGAGUAGGCGAGGAGGUGGGAUGGAUGCAUGACACACUGUCUGGGAGUCUUUCGGAGUGCUAUGAAGGCUUGUGCUUCUUCCGAGUCUUUCCUUUACUUGUAUGAGAAGUUGUGUUGGUGCUUCCAUAUCCUCUUUUCUGGAUAAACUCCUUUGGUUGUGAUGCUACCGUGUACGUUGAGUAUUGUGGUUCAUUCGAUGGGGUUUAUAGCAUAGUUUUUUUUUUAAAACAACAAUGUUUUCAGAGGUUGUCCGUUGAAUAUUGGUCUACAAUUGAUUGGUAAAUGUUGAAUAUGUUCUGUUAUAGGUUCCUAGAAUGUGUGGGAAGUCUAGGGAUGUUUUAGUUGGUAUCAGAGCCAUCACUCCUAAAGGACAUGCCAUCUCGUCAAGAACUCGACUACUUCUGCUUUCAAAUUUGGUAUGACUGCUAGAAGGAAUAAUAGUGAGACUGGAGGUCAGAAUAAUCAAUUCCUAGAAGGACUCACCACACUCUUACAGGAACAGAAUUGCAUUCAUGGGGAGCAAAUACAAUAAUUAUUGAGAGUUAGGGAGAAUGGACAUGUACACAGUCACGCCACAACCGGAAUGAACCCGGUUUACAAACAGUUGAGAGAGC